AUGAGGAGGCCGCCCAGCGCGGGGCGGGCCCAGCCGCCGCCCUCCAGUGGGGUCCCGGCAAACCCGGCUCGGCCGAGGCAAAAGGGCGAUACGCACGUCAAUCGAAGGGCCCCGCCAAUGAGUUCGCGCGCUGCCCUCGAGCCCGCCCUCGCCUCGGCCUCCCGGCGCCCGCGCUGCCUUCCCUCAGGCCGCGGCGGCCCUCCCGCCCGCGCCUCCAUCCGGGUCCUCGCGUGCGGCUCUCGGGUGGUGGCGGACGGCCGGCUUGAGGUCCGGGCUGCCCUGCGGAAGAUGACGGAAGGCAGCGGCCUCCUCCGAGAGCCUGAGGAGAACCAGAAUUCCCUAGGAGAAAGCCUUCCUGUGGUGCUCAGCUGUGGUCCCUAUUCAGCAUUCACCCUGGACGUUCUCUUCACUGUGGGAUGAGGUAGUAGGUUGUAUAGUUUUAGGGUCACACCCACCACUGGGAGAUAACUAUACAAUCUACUGUCUUUCCUAACGUGAUAGAAAAAUCUGCAUCCAGGAAACCUCAUGCAAAGUUGAUAACUAAUUGCCUGACAUUUAAGAUUAACUUGUGUAAAAAUGCUGCAGUGCAUCAUUUCUUUAUGGUUGCUUCUUCUUCUAGAGACUAAAAGUGUUACCAAGUAGACUGGUUGGGAGUGGGGAUACUUUCUGCUUCUCAUUUCUCUAUGUCAGAAUAAGUGUAUAUUUUAUUUUGUUAGAUGCUGAUAAUGCAACAUAAAGAGAUUGCGCUCUUCAUUCCACAAGAAAAGAUUGCUCUAUCAGAGUGAGGUAGUAGAUUGUAUAGUUGUGGGGUAGUGAUUUUACCCUGUUCAGGAGAUAACUAUACAAUCUAUUGCCUUCCCUGAGGAGUAGACUUGCUACAUUUUGUUUUUAUCUAGAUGAUAGUAAAACUCAGAAAAAUUAAUUUUGACAUUGUUUUGUACUUACAGUUUAUUUAUGUCAUUUGAUAAUCAUAUUCUCUGUUCAAGCAUAGACAGUGGUCUAACAUUUAAAAUUUUGGUAUCUGAUAUAUUUAAGAAAUUUGAAAUUAAGCAGGAAUCUCAAAAGAGUGGAGAAAGAAAUAACCUUCAGGAAAUCUUAAUAGGAGACCAAGGUCCCUUUGGAAUAGGCUCACUGCCCCCUGGUAUAGAUGUCCAGGGUGUGAUCCUUGGUGGUGAAGUCAAUACAAACUGGAAACGCACUGUCCAAGCUGAAAUGGAAUCAUGUGGAUUAUGAUUCAUUCCUCAGUUUGCUUUUUUGAGCGGCCUUGGACAGUGUUGUAACCACUGUUUCUUAGGACAGCUUCACUCUCCAACCUGGAGAAGAAGAGAUGGGCUCUGGGUUCAACCCUUGCUCCCUGGAUAAGUCCUCAUGACCUUAGCUUUGCACUGCCCACGAAACUUGAAGUGGGACUUCGUUCACAAAGGGAGGUCCCCUGACGCUGUCAGAUGGGGAAAUCCAUAGUUCGUUGUUUUAGGGAAAGUUUGAGGAUAAUGCUAGAAAGAGCUACUUGAGUUUUCACACCUAUGAAAGCCCUUAUUUCAGCUUUCUUCCAGCGGCCGAACCGUAUGCUCUCUCGGGCCCUUAUAAUCAAGCAAGGCUAAAAGCUCCCUGUUGUAAGUGCUUGGUAUUUUUUUUAUUUUGGGAGAAGAAAAAGAUGCAAAGUGGAGGUGAAGGAGAGCUCACCUCUUCCCAAAUAGUUCCAUCUAUCCUAAAUCUUAAUAUCUAAGAUAAUCACUGUGUGGUGCCAUUGGCAGCAGGAAUUUAUAUGAGAGCAAACAUCAAAUUCUCUCUCGGGUGGGCCCAACCCAAGUGAUUUAUCCUGGGCCAGAUUUAUGCUUUUUAUUUCAUCCCUGGCAUAUAGAUGGAUACCUGCCUGGUCCAGAAUUGGGCUUUGUUACGAACUGUACGUAUGUAUACGUCUGCGGAAACCUUUUGUAGUCGUUGCCUCUUUGUGUGCCAAAGAAAAGUAGAAACAUUCAAGAAAUCGCUAGGCAAGUACAGUCAUGGAGUUUUGUGGGUUUCCAGUAUGUGUGCCUCCCGUGUGGGUAUCACCUCCCUUGUGCGGUUGGAAACUUCCAGAAUACCUAAGUUCUGGUGAUGUUAAAAAAAAAUGUAUUUAUAGCUUUUAUUAAUUACACAAGGAUUCAUUUCUUACCCUUAUUGGCCAGGUUCAGUAAUUAAAUCAACUUGUGGACUCCAUUUUGUAAAAAACGUUUAAAAGUACCUUUAUGGUGCAGUGUGACAAGUCUGAAAGCUUUUUGAUAGUGACAAAAACCGUGAUCAGCAUUUGCUUCUUCUGCUUACUCUAAGGGUCAAAACCCAGAUAACCUGGGUCCAAAAGUAGCUGGCUGUAACUAGAAAACAUGGCAUCUAAAGUCGGUAAAUUAGUUUGUUUCAGUUGACGGUGGCAAGAAGGAUUUAUACAUGGUAUCACCUAAUUUUCUAGUUUAUCAGGGGAGGCAGAGAUCUUAUGAAAUGAUGUUUAAGUUUUGGUACUAUAUUAAAUGUUUUUAAAAGUCUGUGUCUCCAGUGAUACAUGGUGGGCUGGGUGUUAGGCUUCUGGUUUGCAUCCUCCGAUGUAACUGAAUUACUUUUUAUUCCUUUUUAGCAAGAGGUUUGAUUCUAAGCAAACAGUUGUGGUUUUUACCAAGGUCAUGUGGCCAGUAACUUUUUAAAAGCACCAGUGAAAGAAGUCUAAUUGGUUUGAAUUUUAAAUAAAACCAAAGAAAUACGGCCUAAUUUAACAGGUUAAUUUGAAAGUCCACCUGCUAAGUGGAAGACCGGCAAGAAAAAAAUGGGCUCCUAGGAAGAGGUAGUAGGUUGCAUAGUUCUAGGGCAGGGAUUUUGCCCACAAGGAGGUAACUAUACGACCUGCUGCCUUUCUUAGGGCCUUAUUACUCCACGGUAACCUGUUUCCUUGCUGCCUUGCUUUGAUGAAGCAGAGUUCUUUCUGCAGAACACUGAAUUCCUGAAAACAUUGUAGGAGUACCAAAGGAAGCGGUGCUUGCAUUAAUGAUUUACAAGCAGCAGCAUGGUACCAACAUCAAUUACUAAACGUCAACUCCUGAGAGUUUAAGACGUCAGAAGUCUAGCUAGUUGCUUAUGUAAUCUCACUUUGGGGUUGCUGGCAGGUUUUGGAAAGCACAGUUUUUCGGUUUUGGUCAAGUUCCCUUUCCUGAUCCAGAGACGACUCUGUUAAACCUGAAAGAACGCAUUUUACAAGACUAUUGAAAUCUUUUACUUUUCCCUACACUGUGUUUGUAAAUAUUUAUCUUAAAUUUCUGGGUUUAUUUGUCUUCUGGACUUAAAAUUUGGAGCAGUUCUUAGGGGUGGCAUUAUUGCAUGUUGUGAAAACCCAUCAUUGCAUUGAGCACCCAUUAUGGUAUGUAAUCCUGUGAUUGAAUCUGUUUGAUGUGUACAAGGACUGGAAAGUCAACAGAAAUGAACAUGGUUAUAAGAUAGUAGUGUUAUAAUUUGUUAAACAUCUUUCUAAU
rnacentral:lncRNA from 1 species